rnacentral:rRNA from 1 species
CCUACGGGAGGCAGCAGUAAGGAAUAUUGGUCAAUGGAGGGAACUCUGAACCAGCCAUGCCGCGUGCAGGAAGACGGCCCUAUGGGUUGUAAACUGCUUUUGCCAGGGAAUAAAUGCUUCUAUGUAUAGGAGUUUGAAUGUACCUGGAGAAUAAGGAUCGGCUAACUCCGUGCCAGCAGCCGCGGUAAU